rnacentral:rRNA from 1 species
GAUGAACGCUGGCGGUAUGCCUAACACAUGCAAGUUGAACGAAAGCUUAGGCUUUAGUAGCGGACGGGUGAGUAAUACAUGAGAAUUUGCAUUCAGGAGGGGAAUAACAAUUGGAAACGGUUGCUAAUGCCCCAUAUGCUUUAUAGUGAAAUGAUUUUUCGCCUGAAUAUGAGCUUAUGCCUGAUUAGCUAGUUGGUAGAGUAAGAGCCUACCAAGGCUACGAUCAGUAGCUGGUUUGAGAGGAUGAUCAGCCACACUGGAACUGAGACACGGUCCAGACUUCUACGGAAGGCAGCAGUGGGGAAUUUUCCGCAAUGGGCGAAAGCCUGACGGAGCAAUACCGCGUGAGGGAUGAAUGCCUAUGGGUUGUAAACCUCUUUUAUUGGGGAAGAAUAAUGACGGUACCCAAUGAAUAAGCAUCGGCUAACUCCGUGCCAGCCGCCGCGGUAA